AAUGAACGCUGGCGGCGUGCCUAAUACAUGCAAGUCGAACGAACAGUUGAGGAGCUGGCUCCUCUGGCUGUAUCGCCGGACGGGUGAUUAACACAUGGUUAACCUACCUAUCAGACUGGGAUAACUUCGGGAAACCGUGUCUACGACCGAAUAAUAUAUUGCACCUCAUUGUUCAAUAGUGAAAUUCGCUUUUGCUUUGACUUAUAGAUUGAUCCGCGUCGGAUUCGCUGGUUGGUAAGGUGACUGCUUACCCAGGCAACGAUGCGUAGCCGACCUGAAAGGGUGAACGCCCAGACUGGCACUGAGACACGGUACAGACUCCUACGCGGGGCAGCAGUAGGGAAUCCUCCGCGAUGGGCGAAAGCUUGACGGAGCACCGCCGCGUGAGUGAUGAAGGUCUUCGGCUCGUAAAACUCUGUAAUUAGGGAAGAAGAAAUGUGCAAGUAACUAUGCACGUAUUGACGGUACCUAAUCAGAAAGCUACGGCUAACUCCGUG
rnacentral:rRNA from 1 species